UGUAGUCAUAUGCUUGUCUCAAAGAUUAAGCCAUGCAUGUCUAAGUAUAAGCAAUCUAUACUGUGAAACUGCGAAUGGCUCAUUAAAUCAGUUAUCGUUUAUUUGAUAGUACCUUACUACUUGGAUAACCGUGGUAAUUCUAGAGCUAAUACAUGCCAAAAACCCCGACUUUUGAAGGGGUGUAUUUAUUAGAUAAAAAACCAAUGCCCUUCGGGGCUUUUUGGUGAUUCAUGAUAACUUAACGAAUCGCAUGGCCUUGCGCCGGCGAUGGUUCAUUCAAAUUUCUGCCCUAUCAACUUUCGAUGGUAGGAUAGUGGCCUACCAUGGUUUCAACGGGUAACGGGGAAUG
rnacentral:rRNA from 1 species